AAUUCUUUAUUACAAAAUGAUUACAAGUUACAACAUUUACAAGUUAUAACAAGAUUACAAUAUAUAUCAUCGGAGUUGAUUACAAAAGAAAUUGAUUCAAAAAGAUUACAAUUUGAAUGUAUAAAACAUUUAUAAGUUUUAAAAUACAUGCUAGCUUAAGUGACAAUCCUCAAUAAGGAAGCUAAAGAUGGGAUAUACUUAUAUAAGAAGGCCGAGCCCACCGGCACUUAGCACCAUCCACAACAGAACAAAAUUACAACCUGAAAAACAACAGGGAAUAAAACCCUGAGUACGCAAUUACUCAGCAAGACUUACCCGACUAAAGAAAAGACUCUCAAGGGUAUGCUGGAUUUAAGGGAUUCAAGGUAAAGCUCGUCAAAUUUCUAAGACUCGUUUUUGCAGAAAAGCUUACUAGUAGUGGAUCCUUAUGCAAAAUUUUUACUUCACAAAUUAAGUACUUUUCCUGAAUCUAGAUUUGCCUGGUCUAGAGCAUUCACUUGUCCUACACUAGCUUCAUUUUAUCAACUUUAAUUUCACUUGUUAUCUACGCUGAAGGUCGAAGAUCCAGUCUUCAUAUCCGAGAAGUUCGGCGAUCCGAAUCGAUUAAUACCCAGCUGGGGAUCUCCAACCACACGACAUAUGUAGCACUUAACCCUUGCAUAUGUCAACUCGCCCACGAUUUUCUCAAGACCAGAACGGGUCCCCGCCAACCGAGAGCUCAGUACCCCACCAUCCAGCCUCUUGCCAGGUGGAUACACGAUACUCUCGCCAUCUCUCCACUCCCAUUGCGGGCCGGCCUUUCUGGUAUUGGUCCAACCGAGGCUAAGCUUACCCAUGAUGAGGCAUGUGGCCAGUUAAAGGGUCCUAGAUCAGCAGGCCAACAAUCAGAACGGUCCUUAAUUGACACAGACGGGCGACCUUUCCUGCUCAACGUCUGGUCUCAUUUUAUUUAAACCAUUUCCCAAUCUUUGGUACCUGACAGAGGUACUUUUUCUGGAUGUUGAAUCCAUCAUGGCCAUAUGGAUUCACCAUCCCAAUUUCUUUUUCACAAAAAUUUCCCAUAUCCCAUGUAACACAUCAUUUUUUUUAAAAAAAACAACUUUUAAUUAUCUAAGCAGGGCUAAGCAUCUUUAGUUCUCUUUAUAAAACAGGAAUCAAGGAAGCUAAUCAAAUUCCAAGGAAUGGCAAUGCAUCAAUUGUUUCAUCACUCAACUCCUAUCACCUAAUGCAACAUAUAAGUGAUAAAAGUUUUAUAACAACAAGGAGGUGGCAAAUGCACCGGGGCUUGCCUGGGAUAACACUACGUUAGUGUUGUUAGAUGAUGACCACUUGGUGAGCAUCUUCCAUUCUGGCACUCUAUCAGAUCAUCCAUCUUUAGGUUCGUUC
rnacentral:lncRNA from 1 species